rnacentral:lncRNA from 1 species
UAUCGUGGGCACUAAUGGAAUUUUAUGAUCAUAGCUUCAGAUGGUUUCAGAUGGUUUCACAAGAAGGCUGGCCUCCUGCUUCACUUAGUGAAGGCUGACCAAACAGAGAGGGAACAAGAGAGAAGAAGAGAAGCCGCCCAGAUGAGAGAGAAGCCAUCUUACCUUUGUGCAGAUUCUCCUGGCAUUUUAAUGCUGCAGAAGCAGGUGUCUUCUAUCUUCCUCUUUACUAGAAUGUGGACCCAUAUUAACAACACAAUUCAUCAGUCUGUCUUUUGCUGUCCCUCAACCCUGUGAUCAUGUGAUACUAUGAAGAUACGCAAGCACCACGGAGUUCAGGGCAACCCU